rnacentral:SRP_RNA from 1 species
UGCCGGACACUGCGCAACAGACGGUUACGAACCUCGUCAGGUCCGGAAGGAAGCAGCGAUAAGAAAUGCGGUCU